AUGUCUAAGGAUUGCACCGUGGUUCAUUACUGUCACAUUUGUAACAACUACACGCAUCCUCUGCACCGCUGCUCUUUUCUCAAGCAACCAAGGCCAACCGCCUCCCUCGGUGGUUGCGGUUUAGUUAAUGCAAUGUUUCUACAGCUUCCGGACUCACUCUUCAAGGAAAAUCUCGCCCCACCUACUUUGUCGACUGCUUUGGUUACGGUUUCGGGUGAUUCCUUGUCUUCUUCUGUGGUGGAGGCCGAGGUUGCAAAGAUCGAUGCGGUCCAAACUUCGUGGAAGUGGGAAGCUAUGCCUCAUGGAGCAAAUGCUUUCUUGGUUUCUUUCCCUUCAGUGGAGAUUUUGCAGUGCGUGGCAGCGUUUGAGUAUAAUGUUAAAUCACAUGACGUGAAGAUCACUUUUAGUGAAUGGAAAACUGAGGAGGUUCCGUAG
rnacentral:rRNA from 1 species